CAGAAAGUCAUUAAAGAGCGCUGAGCCGAAGAGCUGCUGCUGGAGUAGGGGACAGAGGAGGAGGAGGAGGCCGGAGCAGGUGCUGUUUGCGGAAGAGGCUAGUGUAUUGUGCCUGGGUCAAUGAGGGAGCCAAGGUUGGUAAAAAAUCUACAUAACAUUACCAUCUGUUAAAGUUCAAACUACUCUAACACAAUACACAGACACACACACACACACACACACACACACACACACACACACACAGACACACACACACACACACACACACACA